rnacentral:rRNA from 1 species
GACGAACGCUGGCGGCGUGCUUAACACAUGCAAGUCGAACGGAAAGGCCCUGCUUUUGUGGGGUGCUCGAGUGGCGAACGGGUGAGUAACCCGUGAGUAACCUGCCCUUGACUUUGGGAUAACUUCAGGAAACUGGGGCUAAUACCGGCGAGGAGCUCCUGCUGCAUGGUGGGGGUUGGAAAGUUUCGGCGGUUGGGGAUGGACGCGCGGCUUAUCAGCUUGUUGGUGGGGUAGUGGCUUACCAAGGCUUUGACGGGUAGCCGGCCUGAGAGGGUGACCGGCGACCUGGCGACUGAGAGACGGACCAGAGUCCUACGGGAGGCAGCAGUGGGGAAUAUUGCACAAUGGGCGGAAGCGUGAUGAAGCAACGCCGCGUGCGGGAUGACGGCCUUCGUGUUGUAAACCGCAUUCGCCUGUGACGAAGCGUGAGUGACGGUAAUGGGUAAAGAAGCACCGGCUAACUACGUG